CAGUGAGCUUCCCUGGCUGCAGCAGUCCUCUGCUGGCACCCGACCCCCUCAACACACACAGCCCUGCACCCUUGGAUCUGAGGCAUCAUCUAGAGCCCAGCUCAGUUCCUAGUACAGGAACCGCACAGAAUCGUAUCUGGCAUCUCCGUCUGAGGACAGUAGUAGCUGCACCAACCAUCUGAAUGGCCCAGAAGAUGGAAGCCUGAAGGAGAGAAUAGCGCCCUGAGACUGUCUGUGCCUUCUGCAUUGGACCUCAGGAACCCAGUAUUAAUGGAAAGUUGACUCCACUGUCUUCAAAACCAGCUUCUGAGGCCACCUAGUGGAGAUUGCUGCCAUUUUCCGGAACAGAAAAUCCAAGUCUACUCUCCAGCCGUCUUCAAGCCAGGAAGCUGUGAGAGGAACGCUUUCAUUGUUGCUUUUUCUUCCAAUGAGAUCACCCUUCAACUUAGCAUUCAUGCCUGCCUUCUGGACUUCUGAGGACUAUGAGAAUGUUGAUAAGCUGAAUGCAACCAUAAAGGCUGAAGCCACCCAUCUGGAGGCUCCUCUGUCUUCCACAGUGGCCUUGAUAAUAGUGUUGAUAAUUAUUUUCUCAUUGGU